UACAGAGGGUGCGAGCGUUAAUCGGAAUUACUGGGCGUAAAGCGCGCGUAGGCGGCUUUUCAAGUCGAUUGUGAAAUCCCCGGGCUUAACCUGGGAACUGCAGUCGAGACUGUCUAGCUAGAGUAUGGGAGAGGGAAGUGGAAUUUCAGGUGUAGCGGUGAAAUGCGUAGAUAUCUGAAGGAACAUCAGUGGCGAAAGCGACUUCCUGUACCAAUACUGACGCUCAUGUGCGAAAGCGUGGGGAGCAAACAGG
rnacentral:rRNA from 1 species